rnacentral:rRNA from 1 species
GAUGAACGCUGGCGGCGUGCCUAAUACAUGCAAGCCGAGCGAACGGACGAGAAGCUUGCUUCUCUGAUGUUAGCGGCGGACGGGUGAGUAACACGUGGAUAACCUACCUAUAAGACUGGGAUAACUUCGGGAAACCGGAGCUAAUACCGGAUAAUAUUUUGAACCGCAUGGUUCAAAAGUGAAAGACGGUCUUGCUGUCACUUAUAGAUGGAUCCGCGCUGCAUUAGCUAGUUGGUAAGGUAACGGCUUACCAAGGCAACGAUGCAUAGCCGACCUGAGAGGGUGAUCGGCCACACUGGAACUGAGACACGGUCCAGACUCCUACGGGAGGCAGCAGUAGGGAAUCUUCCGCAAUGGGCGAAAGCCUGACGGAGCAACGCCGCGUGAGUGAUGAAGGUCUUCGGAUCGUAAAACUCUGUUAUUAGGGAAGAACAUAUGUGUAAGUAACUGUGCACAUCUUGACGGUACCUAAUCAGAAAGCCACGGCUAACUACGUGCCAGCAGCCGCGGUAAUACGUAGGUGGCAAGCGUUAUCCGGAAUUAUUGGGCGUAAAGCGCGCGUAGGCGGUUUUUUAAGUCUGAUGUGAAAGCCCACGGCUCAACCGUGGAGGGUCAUUGGAAACUGGAAAACUUGAGUGCAGAAGAGGAAAGUGGAAUUCCAUGUGUAGCGGUGAAAUGCGCAGAGAUAUGGAGGAACACCAGUGGCGAAGGCGACUUUCUGGUCUGUAACUGACGCUGAUGUGCGAAAGCGUGGGGAUCAAACAGGAUUAGAUACCCUGGUAGUCCACGCCGUAAACGAUGAGUGCUAAGUGUUAGGGGGUUUCCGCCCCUUAGUGCUGCAGCUAACGCAUUAAGCACUCCGCCUGGGGAGUACGACCGCAAGGUUGAAACUCAAAGGAAUUGACGGGGACCCGCACAAGCGGUGGAGCAUGUGGUUUAAUUCGAAGCAACGCGAAGAACCUUACCAAAUCUUGACAUCCUUUGACAACUCUAGAGAUAGAGCUUUCCCCUUCGGGGGACAAAGUGACAGGUGGUGCAUGGUUGUCGUCAGCUCGUGUCGUGAGAUGUUGGGUUAAGUCCCGCAACGAGCGCAACCCUUAAGCUUAGUUGCCAUCAUUAAGUUGGGCACUCUAAGUUGACUGCCGGUGACAAACCGGAGGAAGGUGGGGAUGACGUCAAAUCAUCAUGCCCCUUAUGAUUUGGGCUACACACGUGCUACAAUGGACAAUACAAAGGGCAGCGAAACCGCGAGGUCAAGCAAAUCCCAUAAAGUUGUUCUCAGUUCGGAUUGUAGUCUGCAACUCGACUACAUGAAGCUGGAAUCGCUAGUAAUCGUAGAUCAGCAUGCUACGGUGAAUACGUUCCCGGGUCU